GCACGCCUGUAGUCCCAGCCAAUCAGUAGGCUGAGGCACGAGAAUCGCUUGAACCCAGGAGGCCAAGGCUGCAGUGAGCCACGAUUGCACCACUGCACUCUAACCUGAGCAACACAGACUCCAUCUCAAAAAAAAAAAAAAAAAAGAACUUGGAAAUGCCCCCAUAUAUACUAGUUGUGAUGAAGCAUUAUUUUUAGUUAAGUCAUAUAAGAAUGACUGUGUAUGACCAAAGGCAAAUAUAUGUGGAAGAAACUCACCAGGAAUUCUUUUGUGGGUUUUUAUUCAAUACAUGUCAGUAGGGGAGUUAUACCCCCUUUUUAAUAAGUUUGUGUUAACCUACAGUCUAACCAAGGCAUCUUAUCCCAGUGAAUGCCACCACCAUUCACCCUGGUUCCCAAACUGGUAACAUAGAAAUAAUCUUGACAUAUCUUCCUAUCACUUUGUCAUCAAGUCCUGUCAUUUUUACCUUGUAAACAUCUCUUAAAUGUGUCUACUUCUCACCACACCCUAAUCUAAGCUACCAUCAGCACCUUUUGCCUGCAUGACUGCAGUUGUCUCCUAACUGUUCUUCCUGCAGCGACUCUGGCCCUCCCUGUAUUCACUCGACUGCAAGCAGAAUUCUCCUUUUUGUUCGAAGUUCAAUUUUAAUCAAGACAACCCACCUACCUGCACUUGCACCCCUAGCUUAAAAUGCUCGAAUGGCUUUUUAUUGUCCUUAAUGAUGAAAAGGAAAUAUUUUAUGUGACCAAAUAUAUUUGACCUAUGAGGUCAGAUAUAUUAGGGCCACUAUCUAAAGCAUAGUUCCAAGCAUUAAAAUAGUUACUGUCUCAGAUUAAAACAGUGGCUGGCACAUCACCUCAAUAGAGGUUACCUAUUCUUGUUGCCACUUAGCCUCAUAUGUACCAUGUUUUACUUAAUACCUUCAUUGUCCUUUAAGUAUUCGGAAUGAGAAUUACAGUGCUUCAUUCAGCAUAAGACUUUUGUUCAUGCUGUUUCUUUGGCCUGAAAUAUCUAUCCCUUCCCAAUUGCCUAAUUAAUUCCUAUUUGUCUUUCAGAUCUUAGCUAGUUCAUCACUUCCUCAGGGAAACAUUCCCUAAUUUCUGUCACAGAGUAAGACCCGUUGUUAUACGUCUCACCUGACCAUGUACCUCUACUUAGCAUUUAACACGUGUAAUUUUGUAUGUAUUGGUUUGAUUAAUGUCAGAACCACUAGAUUGUAAACUCCAUGAGGACCGGAAUUUUGUUUCUGUCAUUGUCAUUGUUCAACUUUGUAUUUUUUAUGCCUCAUACAGUGCCUGGCACAUAGUAGGUGCUCAAUUAACUUUAUUGAAAGAAUAAAAUGAAUGGAUGAGGUA
rnacentral:lncRNA from 1 species